AGGCCUGGAGGAGACAAACUGCUCCAGAGAGUGGAUUCCUCUGAAGGGAGCCAUGGAACAGGGCUCAGGGUAGAACCCACCUGUGAAAGGAAAAAGGCCCAAUGAACCCGAUCCAGAGUCCAAAAACCCCCCUCCUCAAGGACAAGGUUUCUCAAUCACAGAGGACAAACAAGAGCACCACAAGAGUGUGUCCCGAGUCACGGUGGGGAAAAGGAAUGCAGAUGGACUUUCUCAUCUUCCUGACAGACCAUACACACCUUGAGGGCAAGAGCUAUGCCUGUCCCUCUGCAUCCCCCAUGACAGCCAUGAGAGCUCUGAGAGGGUGUGUUUCUCCAGGCAUGUGGCCUACCCACCCACAUCAAUGGGAGAAGCUGCUGCUGCACUAAGCAAUGGAUCAUCUGAUUACUUCUACUGGCUUCAGUCUCCCCCUCAAAUAUACAGCCAUCCAGGCCCCAAAAACCCUAGGGGGAAGGGUCCCUUGGCUCUUACUCAAUAAUCCACAAAAUCUCAUUGCAGGCGGAGUCCUUAAUAAUGCCAUCUGAUGAAUAAUGGUUCUGUAUUCUGGCUGCACAUUGGAAUUAUCUGUGUAACUUUAAAAACUAAACAUUUCUCACAUAUUAUAUGAUUCUAUUCAGUAGAUCAGCAGUUGCCAUUGGCUAUGAGGGAAGCUACAGGGAAUGACUGCUAAUGGGUGCAGAGUUUCUUUUUGAGAUGUUGAAAAUGUUCUGGAAUUAAACAGUGAUGUUGGCUGUACAACCUUAUGAAUAAAAAAAUUGAAUUGUAUACUUUAAAA